AAAUAAGAAACAAUUACUUGUAUUUAGUUUCGACCUAAAAUUUUGAUGAAUGUAUAAUCAUCCUUAUUUA
rnacentral:tRNA from 1 species